rnacentral:sRNA from 1 species
GCUGGGUAUGGUGGCGCACACCUGUAAUCCUGGAGACUUGGGAGGCAGAGGCAGGAGGAUCACAAGUUCAAGGCCAGUCUCAGCAAAUUAGCAAGAUCCUGACUCAA